rnacentral:rRNA from 1 species
UACGUAGGGUCCGAGCGUUGUCCGGAAUUACUGGGCGUAAAGAGCUCGUAGGUGGUUUGUCGCGUUGUUCGUGAAAACUCACAGCUCAACUGUGGGCGUGCGGUCGAUACGGGCGGACUAGAGUACUGCAGGGGAGACUGGAAUUCCUGGUGUAGCGGUGAAAUGCGCAGAUAUCAGGAGGAACACCGGUGGCGAAGGCGGGUCUCUGGGCAGUAACUGACGCUGAGAAGCGAAAGCGUGGGUAGCGAACAGG